rnacentral:misc_RNA from 1 species
ACGUCCGGCUGCGAUCCGAUGAAGAUCAGCGCGACGAGGUAGUCGUUCCAGACCCAGAGGAACUGGAAGAUCGCAUAGGAGGCGAGCACGGGCGUCGCGAGCGGCGCGACGAUCAACGUGAAAUCUUCAGAUGAGAUGCGCCGUCAACGGUCGCGGCUUCGAAGAUCUCCCGCGGCAGGCCCGCGAUGUAAUUAUAAAGAAGGUAGAUCGCGAGCGGCAGGCCGAAGCCGGUAUGAGCCAGCCAGAUCGCAAGGUAGGUGCCGUUGAGCCGAAGGUGAACAUAGUCGGAGAGGACCGGUACAAGUGCGAUCUGCAGGGGUACGACGAGAAGCGCCACCAUCGCGGCGAACGCAAGCCGGCGGCCCGGGAAUUCCAUCCAGGCGAAGCCAUACGCCGCGAACGCAGCGAUGACGAGCGGAAGGAAAACCGAGGGAACUGUGACCGCCAGGCUGUUCAGGAAGGCGCCUGCAAGGUUGUCACCUCGGAGCGUGUAUUUGUUGCCCUCUGCGUCGACCACUUCAUAUUGCUUGCCGGUAAGCACAUCCGCGUAGUUCCGAAACGUGAAGUUCGCGUUGGUGGUCCACCGCCGCUCCUGGACCAUGACCUCGCCCCGACGCCUGUUGCCCAUCCAAACAACCCGACGACCGUCCGGCGCGGUCAGACCGCUGCGCAGUUCGUCAAAAGUGCCGGUGACUCCGGCGAAGCUCAUUGCCGCAUUACGGUCGACUUCCCGACCCGGCGGUAUCCGCUCGACCGUCACCCAUUGGCGAUGCGGAAGGAUCGUCCACCAGCCCGUCGCCUGCACAUCAUCGCGCGUGCGGAACGAGGAAACAAAAACUCCGAAGGUCGGCAGCAACCAGAGUACGCAGAGGAUCGCCAGAACCAGAUUGACGGCAAAUCCGCCGGAUUGCCGCUCCUCCGCCGGCCGCAUCAGCGUAGCUCGCUCUUGCGCAACUGGCGCAGAUUGUAGAUCACCACCGGAGUCACGAGGAUCAGGAGGACGAUUGCGAUCGUCGAGCCAAGACCGAAAUUCCGGUUGAUGAAAUACUGGUUGUAAAACUGCGUCGCGAUCACGUCUGUGC